CCGCCGCCCCCACGCCGGCGCGCGCGUGUACGUGCCUUCGGGCCGCCAAAAGCCCCC
rnacentral:miRNA from 1 species